rnacentral:lncRNA from 1 species
GUCGCCGGCGCCGUGACCGUUGGCAGAAAGGGAUGACCAAAAAAAAAUUAUAGAAUAAGAAAAGAGAAAAAAAAAUAAUGACAAAAAAUUAUAGAAAAAAAAAAGAUGAAGAUGAAAUUACAAUGUUAAAAUAAAAUUGUACUGUUUUAAAGAACGUUACACUAUUAUGGAUAUAAGUUGCACUACUUAAGAUAUAAACCGCAUCCUUUAAGAUAAAAAUUACACUCUUUGAAAGAUAUUUAUACUGGUUCUUCUUUUAUUACACUCUUUGAGAUGUAAACUGUAUCCUUUAAGAUAAAAAUUAUACUUUUUAAAUGAAAAUUACACUCUUUGAAAAAUAUUUAUACUAUUUUUUCUCUUUGUUGCACUGUUUGAGAUGUAAACUGCACCCUUAAGAGAUAUUUACACUGUUUCUUCUUUUGUUGCAAUGUUUCUUCUCUUGUUACACUGUUUCUUCUCUUUGUUGCACUCUUUAAGAGUAGAAACAGUGCAAUAAAAGAAGAGACAGUACAACACAAGGAGAAACAGUGCAACAAGAGAAGAAACAAUAUAAAUAUCUCUUAAAGUGUACAGUUUAUAUUUUAAAGAGUGCAACAAUAGUAGAAACAGUAUAAAUAUCUCUCAAAGAGUGCAAAUUUCAUUUAAAGAAUAUAAUUUUCAUCUUAAAGAUUGCACUUUAUAUCUCGAAGAGUGCAAUAAGAUGAGAAACAGUGUAAAUAUCUCCCAAGUAGUGCAAUUUUCGUCUAAAAAGUAUAAUUUUCAUCUUAAAGAGUGCAGUUUACAUCUUAAAUAGUGCAACUUAUGUCCAUAAUACUGCAACGUUUUUUAAAACAGUACAAUUUUAUUUUAAUUGUGCAAUUUAUCUUCAUCUUUUUUUUUCUAUAAUUAUUUAUCUUUAUUUUUUCUUCAUCCUUCUUCUAUAAUUUUUUUUUGUCGUCCCUCUCUUCCAGCGGCCACGGCGCCGGUGACGACGCCGCUAAGAACCCCACACUCCGAGGUUGCGGCGCCGCAGCAACCUCAGCAGCAUCGGCGUCAGCGAAGAUGCGUCGUCGUCAAAGGCGGUGGAAGAGGAGGGAGAGGGAGAGGAUGAGAAAGGCGGGAAAAGACGAGAGAGGGCGAGCGAGAGUGAGAGAGGCGUCGUCGUCGGAGACGGUGGAGGAGGGUUGGAAAGGGGAAAAA